GUCAGUCUUUUGAAUCAGCUGUUACCGCCAACGUUAACAUUCUCUUUCCGCUUGUGAAAUGAUCUUCUUACUUUCCUUUUUAUCGUUUCGUAUUGUCAUAAAUACAUAGUAAGUGUGUUACGCUGUUUGUGUGUAAAUCGAAUCGUUGGAUUAAGAUGGAUGUCAUAUUGAAGAAUCUUUACCUGUCUUUUGCUAACGCUGUUGAGAUGAUAAUAUUGGAAAACAUAGAACCAGUGGACUCAUGAUUUGAAAUGGAGUACUAAGAAAAUGUAUAUCGUCAAUGGAACUUCAGAGGUACGAUUUAGAGAAUCGUAGGACUCAAAUAAAUUACCAACGACGGUUGAAACAACGUUUUUACAGGAAUGAGAAUAAUCGAACAAAGAGCAGAGAGAAUACUGAUCGCGCGAAAAGGGAUGAUGCUGAGAAUAUAAAAUUAUAUAGGAUCGUAAUACUGUUGAA